rnacentral:rRNA from 1 species
UUCUACGGCCAUGCCAUCCUGAACAAGCCCCAUCUCGUCUGAUCUCAGAAACUAAGCAAGGUCAGGCCUGGUUAGUACUUGGAUGAGAGACCACCUAGGAAGAUCAGGUGCUGUAAGCA